ACCUCUAGCAUUACUAGUAUUAGAGGCACUGCCUGCCCAGUGACACACGUUUAACGGCCGCGGUACCCUGACCGUGCAAAGGUAGCAUAAUCACUUGUUCUUUAAAUAGGGACUCGCAUGAAUGGCAUCACGAGGGCUUAACUGUCUCUUACUUUUAACCAGUGAAAUUGACCUGUCCGUGAAGAGGCGGACAUGAAAUAAUAAGACGAGAAGACCCUGUGGAGCUUCAAUUUACCAGUACAACUAAAGACCAGACAAACCUACAGGCCCCUAAACUCUCACAUCUGUACUAAAAAUUUUGGUUGGGGUGACCUCGGAGCACAACUAAACCUCCGAAGAAUUCAUGCUAAGACUACACAAGCCUAAGCAGAUUAACAUCCAUAAUUGACCCAAUAGUUUGAUCAACGGAAUAAGUUACCCCAGGGAUAACAGCGCAAUUCUAUUCUAGAGUCCAUAUCGACAAUAGAGUUUACGACCUCGAUGUUGGAUCAGGACAUCCUAAUGGUGCAGCAGCUAUCAAG
rnacentral:rRNA from 1 species